rnacentral:rRNA from 1 species
AAUCAACGCUGGCGGCGUGCCUCAGACAUGCAAGUCGAACGAUUAAAGCUCUCUUCGGAGAGUGUAUAGAGUGGCGCACGGGUGAGUAACACGUAAGUAAUCUACCUUCGAGUGGGGAAUAACGUCCGGAAACGGACGCUAAUACCGCAUAAUGCAGCGGCAUCGCAAGAUGACAGUUGUUAAAGAUUUAUCGCUUGAAGAGGAGCUUGCGGCAGAUUAGCUAGUUGGUAAGGUAACGGCUUACCAAGGCUACGAUCUGUAUCCGGUCUAAGAGGACGGUCGGACACACUGACACUGAAUAACGGGUCAGACUCCUACGGGAGGCAGCAGUCGGGAAUUUUGGGCAAUGGGCGAAAGCCUGACCCAGCAACGCCGCGUGAAGGAUGAAGUAUUUCGGUAUGUAAACUUCGAAAGAAUAGGAAGAAUUAAUGACGGUACUAUUUAUAAGGUCCGGCUAACUACGUGCCAGCCGCCGC